GAUGAACGCUAGCUACAGGCUUAACACAUGCAAGUCGAGGGGAAACGAUAUUGGAAGCUUGCUUCCGACAGGCGUCGACCGGCGCACGGGUGAGUAACGCGUAUCCAACCUGCCCAUCACUUGGGGAUAACCUUGCGAAAGUAAGACUAAUACCCAAUGAUAUCUCUAGAAGACAUCUGAAGGAGAUUAAAGGUUCAUCGGUGAUGGAUGGGGAUGCGUCUGAUUAGCUGGUUGGCGGGGUAACGGCCCACCAAGGCGACGAUCAGUAGGGGUUCUGAGAGGAAGGUCCCCCACAUUGGAACCGAGACACGGUCCAAACUCCUACGGGAGGCAGCAGUGAGGAAUAUUGGUCAAUGGACGAGAGCCUGAACCAGCCAAGUAGCGUGCAGGAUGACGGCCCUAUGGGUUGUAAACUGCUUUUAUAAGGGAAUAAAGUGAGUCUCGAGAGACUUUUUGCAUGUACCUUAUGAAUAAGGACCGGCUAAUUCCGUGCCAGCAGCCGCCGUAA
rnacentral:rRNA from 1 species